rnacentral:rRNA from 1 species
AGCGAACGCUGGCGGCAGGCUUAACACAUGCAAGUCGAACGGGCGUAGCAAUACGUCAGUGGCAGACGGGUGAGUAACGCGUGGGAACGUACCUUUUGGUUCGGAACAACACAGGGAAACUUGUGCUAAUACCGGAUAAGCCCUUACGGGGAAAGAUUUAUCGUCGAAAGAUCGGCCCGCGUCUGAUUAGCUAGUUGGUGAGGUAACGGCUCACCAAGGCGACGAUCAGUAGCUGGUCUGAGAGGAUGAUCAGCCACAUUGGGACUGAGACACGGCCCAAACUCCUACGGGAGGCAGCAGUGGGGAAUAUUGGACAAUGGGCGCAAGCCUGACCGAGCAACGCCGCGUGGAGGACG